GCUUACGACCACACCGGCCUGAGUACGCCUGAUCUCGGAAGCUAAGCAGGGUCGGGCCUGGUUAGUACUUGGAUGGGAGACCGCCUAGGAAUACCAGGUGCUGUAAGCU
rnacentral:rRNA from 1 species